GACUGGAGGACUAUGUGGCUGCCGUUAAACAAUCACUAUGCACUGAGCUGGAAUCAUGGGUAAAACUACAGGAUUAGCCAGAUACGAUGGCUCACACCUAUAAUCUCAGCAUUUAAGAAGCUGAUGAAGGAAGAUUGUCACAAGUUCAAGGCCAAGGCCAGCCUAUCUCAAACAGUUCAAGCCAAUCUGUGCUACAAGAGACCCCAUCUCAAAUACACACAAGAAACUGGAUGAAUACAAUACCAUGUAGGGAUGUAGAAAGGGUAGUGAGUACGUCCUAAGGACAGAGUCUCAACAUGUCCUACACAGGCAGAGGUAGACAAGUAAGAUGAGGCUGAAGAGACAUGAAGAAGGUAAAAUCCAGGAACUUUUGUCUUGUAAGGAAAGUUUACCGACGGAAUGAACAGUUAAGAGCCAGAUGCUAAAGGGAAGCCCGUUAAAGGGGGACUGCAGAUUCCAGAGCAGGCAAUAAAGCCACCAGCGACUCACAGUAGAUUUAGAAUUUUAACAGAACCCACUGUGGGCCAGGUUGUGUCUCAGGGGUUGCUCAGCAUUCCUUAGGCCCUGGCUAAGAUCAGCACCACUGGAAAAAAAAUUAUGGUGGAAGGAGAAAGAGAAAUGAGGCAAAAAUCAAAGGACAGAAUUUUUAGAAUGGAAGAAACGGCCAUGUUUCUAAAGUAUUUUCAUAUCGGCAGAGGGGGCUACUGGGAAGAUGUUGAAGAUGAAAAGGAGAGAGGCUAGCCCACAGAUGAACGAACCACUCAGAAGUCACACCCUGGUGACUACAAGGAGUGGGGCACAGAAGCAGCUGGUCUGAGGAAGACUCAGGAAUGUCCAUCUGAAGACGUAGAUUCAAGCCAGGUGUGGCGGUGCACAAGGCAGGCAGAUCUGAGGAAGAAGAGCUAGAUCAGAAGCAAAUCCUCUUCUAGUGGAGUCUACAAUGAACAUGCAGAACAGCGAUUGCAGAAAGAUGCUACAACUUACCCCUGAGAUGGAGGAAGAACCUGAAUGUGACCUUACUAAUGACCGCUCCACUCAUCUCCUUACCAGCUGAGUAAUACCAGCAUGUGGUAAAUACCUCUUCCCCAAGCAGCUGCUCUGCUUCCUCGUAGUUCAGUAAUCGCAUUUUCCUGCCUUUGAUAUUAGAAAGGAGGUGCGAACAUGUGCUGAUCCAAUCAUAACAUUCUCUCUGGGAAGAGACACAGCAUAAUUACUAUGCAGGGGGGAAAAAAAACCUAUCCCAACGCACUCAUUGACCCCCAUUGACCUGCUAAGCACAACUCCUCUAACUAGAGCACCUUUCUGUUCAGUUAAUUGCCCAGAAGUGUCUUACUACAAAUGUAGACCUAAAUCACAUUAUCUCUUUCUGACAGGGUUUGUGAUCUAGGUUGUAAUAAAAUAAAGUGUGAUGAGGUACCAUAAAACCA